rnacentral:rRNA from 1 species
UACGUAGGUGGCAAGCGUUGUCCCGGAUUUACUGGGCGUAAAGAGCGCGCAGGCGGUCGUCCAAGUCGCGUGUGAAAGCCCCCGGCUCAACUGGGGAGGGUCACGCGAUACUGGUCGACUCGAAGGCAGGAGAGGGUAGUGGAAUUCCCGGUGUAGUGGUGAAAUGCGUAGAUAUCGGGAGGAACACCAGUGGCGAAGGCGACUACCUGGCCUGUUCUUGACGCUGAGGCGCGAAAGCUAGGGGAGCAAACGGGG